GUGCAAAAAUGGCCUUUUUGACACUGCUGUAGCUCAAACACAGAGUACAAAGCCCAAGGCCAGGACGCCGGUAGCAUGCAGACUUCUGACGGAGGGGAACGAGGCGGCCUCUCUCAGGGAUCAAUCUCGUCUGCCAUUGAGUGUAAGUUUGGCAAGCACCGACCCCAGAAGGACCUCUUCAGUCCAUACAUCCAUCACUGUAUGAAGGACAAAAAAAAACUAGGUUGACAAAUCCCAGAAAAAGCCCAAAUCACACUGUGUUAGUCCUUCUCUCAAAUACGUCCUGACUUGCCCACUGUGGCUCUCAGCUCCAAACUCAUUGUUUCCUACUUAAGAUAAAUAGGAGUAAGAUGAUAAAUCAUUUCCUGGAACAGUUGGGAGCUGUAGUUUUUAGAAAGCAUUACUCACACACGAGUUAAUUGAGAAUUUGUUAGGGACUAUGUUCAGCAGAGGAUUAAUACACGUUUUGUGCACCAGCAGGGUGUAUGUGGGAUUGGCCCAGAAUAAGUGUUCAUCCUAAUGAAGAAAGAUGUGGUCCAGCGGCUUACUGAUUUGUUUUUAAUCAAUUUUAGACAACAAUGGCUGUAUAUGGCGCAUCGGAAUAAGACGUAUCAGGCUUGUUAGUAGGAUAUAUUCAUAAUUGUUUUUUUCUUCAUGGGAUUUGUUAACAAUAAUGAAAAUAUAGAUUCUUACCAUGCCAAGGCAAAUUUAUACUGUAGUUAGUGAAUAUGACCACUAGAUGGAGAUGUUGAUCCAUAUUUAGCAGUGUUCAUAACGCGAACAGGUUGUGCUGAGAUACAGUUUCUUUCAGGGAGAAGCUUCGAUGUCAGCUGCUCAACAGGACGAAGCCCCAACAUUGAACACAGAGUCACCUAACAUCUUCAGAGAGGGAAACAAAAGCCUGUAUCACCGAGACCUUAGCCUGCAGGUGGAGGAGAGGGAAGAACUGGUGGAAAGAGAGAAAAUGAGAAAUGCUGUUGAUGAGCGAAAGCACAAUGAGACCAUGCAGCACACCGUCUGGGGGAUGCCAGGAAGUGGUGCCCCAAACUACCACCUGGGCACAGUGAAACGGAGCAAAAGCCUCGACAGGGCUGGGAUCUUACCCCAGGAGCAGAUCCGUGAUAAAGGCUUUAGUGGGACCCCCUUCCACCGCCUGUGAAAUGAAGACGAUAACAUCCCCAGCCAGGCAAAUAGUACUCUCUGCAGCCAGCGAGACAUUUGGGCUGUUUCAGCAGCAAAAUAUCACGGAGGCAAAGAAAUACUGAAUGUAAAUAAACGUGGACAAAAACACGUGAACAUGAGCGUGAACAACUCGAGAACACUGAACAAGCGAGCCUUCUAUAGCAACGGCAUGUGUUGCUACAUGAACAGGUGCCUGCAACAGCAACAUGUUCCACUUUGCAUACCAAGAAUGGACUCAUGGCCUUCAUUGGUUCUUCCCAAGGAAUGUGUAUUUAAAUCCUUUUAGGGCAAGUCCAAGUCAGCGCUCAAGUUUUCAUAAAUCAUCUCUAGUAUUGAUUAAGCUCCGAACAUAGUGGAUCCUACAGUUUCCAUAAUGCAACACUACAGCCAUGAGUUGUACUCUCUGUGGGAGUGGUAUUAAUCUUCUCAUAAAACCCUGCAUCGCUUAUUGCAGGACAACAUGUCCAACAACUGAGCUGCCUGACUGAAAACAACAAUGAACAAGAGUUUUAAAGUUUGACACACACACACACACACACACACACACACACACACACACACACACACACACACACACACGCACGCACACACACACACACACACACACACACACACACACACAUUGCAAAGUUUGAUCCUCCUUUGCUGGAAAGUUUGAGAUCAGCCUACACAGAUCAGUGAAAAUGUUUGUUUUCUACUGAUUUCUAAAUCCUACUGAUCAACUGAAUAUGUUUGUUACUGUAAGUGAGUCACAUCUUAGCCUGUGCACUGCUAUAAACGGCUACAUUGUUUGAAUAACCAAUUUACAUAAUUUGUCCCUUUUCAGUUAAUUUCCAUAUAAUUAUAAAGUAAAACGAGAUGAAUCAUCCUUGUGUAAUUGCACAGCUAGUACGUGUGACGUUAGCAAGCGCCUAAUUGGAACAGUUUUACUCAGACACGGAAUGUACACGUAUUUAAUUUUCAUAGGCUAAAGAGCCUUAUUGUGGAGGGCAGCAGCAUCUCCGCAAUAAGACCUCAGUGGGUGAGUAUGAUGUAGGGACAGUUAUAAGGGACAGUAAAAUACCACUGGUUAGAGCGUAGGUUGGUAAUUAUACUGUGGAGCACUAAAUUGUACAGAUGACAUACUUUUUGGGUUGUUGUUGUCACAUGCAAAUAUUGUGCACCUUACACAUUAAUGCAUUACUAAUUAUAAUCCAGUGACAUAAUAUAUAUUAUUCUGAAAUGGGACAUUCUGCAUAAUGAGUACUUUUAAGUAUUUUUUGGAGCUAUUAUUUUUGUACUUAAGUAAGUUGUUGAAUGCAGGACUUUCACUUGUAACACAAUAUGUCUUCACCGUGGUAUUGCUACUUUUAUUUAAUUAAAGAUCUGCGCGUGUCCCCCGGAUGUAAACGGUUAAUUCGACGGACAGUGCAGCGGGCCGUGGUGACGUCACACGCUGGUUUCAACUGCUUUGGGCCGCAGCUUGUAUCAGGAGAAGAAGUAUCACAAACUACUCUGCGACUUUUCCCCAACAGAUCACCAGCUGCAGCC
rnacentral:lncRNA from 1 species